CAGUCAACCUUCCUCAGCCCCCUCACAUUUCUUAUCUUCCCCAUUCUUCUCUUCCUACCUCCUCCUCUGUUGACUCACGCUAGAUCCCCCAUCCACAGCCGGCACUCUCUGGUGGCCGCCCCUCCCCUUCGUCACCAUUGUCGGCGGACACGCAGGCCCAUGCUCUUCCCCGCCCCGCCCCUUCUUCACAUCCUAUUCCCGAAGUGCUCGAGGAGGCGCUCGAGCUCGGCAUGCUCGCCGGCGACACCGGAGCCCUCCCUCCUCCUGAUGCACUCUCCGUCGCCGCCAUGAGCGUCUCUACCUUCUCCCGCGCGCCAUGAAUCCUCCCUCCCCCCUACUCGAGACGCCAUCAAGCCUGGAGCAGGAGCAGCUGCUACUCCCGACCUCCGGUUCCUUCUUUCCAUGGAUGACCACGAAGACCUCCGCAUGAUGUGCUGCUGCUCGGGGCCCUCCCUAUGCUUCUCCUCGCUCGUAAGGGUCCAGGGUUAGCUGCUCAGGGGCCAUGGUGUGUUCCGUGUGGCGCUGCCUUCGCGGCCGCCGCCGUUCCCUUGUUGUGUCUCUGAGACUGGAGGUCCCUGCUCGCCACUCACAGACGGUUGUUCUCCGACCAGUUAAAAAAGACCCUGAAUGGUUCAGAUUUUCUGAAGGAGGAGGUGCCGAAAGGGGAUGGGAGCAACAAGUCUGAAUCGAAGAGAACUGAUGGCAUGUCCUGCCAUGAAGAAUUUGAAGCGGUCAGAAGACAUAAGAGCCGGGUCCUAUACUAUGUUAAGGCCAUGCUGAUGUGUAAGAGUUUGCGGGUGACAUCCUCCAUGGCAAUCAUAUUCCCUCCAACAUCCUUCAGGCCAUGGCGACCAGGUCAAAGAAGUCGAACCUGAAGAAGUGCAGGGAAGAAUUAUAGUUGCGUGUGGCUGGCUGGUUCAGGGGAAUUUCAGGGUGGCGCGGGUGCCGGAGCAGGCUCCUAGGCACUGGCGAUCUGUCGAACGCAUAUUAGAAACGAAGGUGAAGGAGGAGCGGCCGCCCACUCGACGUUGCGAUGUAGGCCGGCGAGGGAGCCCGGCAGGGAGGCCUCAAUGCGCUGCAGGACGUCGAGGGAACCGUCCAGCGAGGCGACGAUGCGAUGCAGGGAUCGAGGCCGCCGUGCAUGGAGGCGACAGGGCGCGACAGGGCUGCUGAGCUUCGUCUGGGGCGGUGGCGAGGAAAGGCAGGGAGAGGGGCCAGGGACACGAUUAGGUUCGGCUUCCUUUUUUUGCGAGUUGGUUAGAUGGUUAGAUUAGCGUGAUUUGAGGGGCUGCGGAUGCGGGACGGAGAGUCUCAUAUUUUCAUCUGGUGGAGUACGGUCAGUCUAUUGAAACUGCUAAGCGCACACCAGAUCUUGAAUAAAUUAAUGAUGGCUGUUAGAUUGGGUUGUGUGGGCUUCAUCCUGUGGUGCUGAUGCGUCUGUGGACGUUUUGCAGGGUGCACGUAAGAAAGUUCAUGUUUGAUUGUUUAAUAGUAGUGGAGAUGAUAUUUAAGGAUGUCACAUCUAAGUGUUUGUACCGUCCGAUCUGUCUCUGCUUUAUUAUUCGUGCACGAGGAGAUUUGGGCCGGCCUUCGAUUUUUGUUUGUUUAUUGGGCUUGCUUUAGAAUCUGAACAGUCUAACUUGAUCUGGAGUCCCGUCCUCACUCUCCUCGCCUCUUUUCCCCUCCUCAUCCCUUGUUCUGCCACCAUUGUAUUCCUUCUGACUCGAAUCCAAGGGAGAGACGACCUGAUCUGGUGGGCUUGUGGCGACAGAGAUGGCAGGGGAAUCCAGCGGAGGGGAUGUAAGCAGACAUACCAACCAUCAAAAUUCAGAGAGCAAUAUCAUCAUUGAAGACCUGGACCAAACUUUUCAUGGCAAUGUUUCUGAAGUUGAGGCCUCUAAUAUUGAUUUAACAGAAACGGAUGCAUCAGAUGGCAUGUUGCUUGAUGGUAUCAAAAAAUGCUGCAAAAGAGUGAUGAGAGUAAACAUGGGAGGAAUGUUUUGAAGGAGCAAAGCAGGAAGAUGGGAACAACCCAAGAAUGUUUGAAUAAAGGAAGAGCAAGUGCGUAUAUCAGAUUUAGCAUAGGGUGUUCUUCCAAGAUAGUUGACAGUGUUUGCAAAAGCAAUUACAGAAUGGAGCUUGUGAAGAACUCUGGAUUCGGAUACAUGCUUGUGAAGAACUCUGGAUUCAAGCAAUUUUGCCAAGGCCUA